UCCCUGGUGGUCUAGCAGCUAAGGAUCCUGCACUCUCUACACUGCGGCCCAGGUUCAAUUCCCGGGCAGGGAA